UGGCGGUCCUCGCUGCUGUCGACCUGAAUCGAGAGGGAGGAGGUGCCGCUGUGCUCGGCCACUGUCAGAGAGAGAGAGAGAGGGAAGUGAUGGGCGUCCGUUUUAGCGCGAGAGAAGGGAGAGCAGUUGAGGGAGAGGAGAGUCGGAGCGGCGCUCGUCGCCGGGAGUGGUGGCACGCGGCCGGAGGAAUUCUGAGAGAGGGAGAGAGGCGAGCAGCGUGAUAUGAGAAAAGGGGAGAAGGUGCGUGACUGAUAUGAGAAAGGGGGGAGGAGAAAUGGGCUUGAGUUGGGCUAGGGCUUAGUUUGAGAUGUAGGGCUUGAGAAUUUGGGCCGAGUGUUGGGCUUGGUUGUGGGCCGAUUUUCUUUGUUUAAUUUUCAGUUGGGCCUUUAUUUUAUUAAAACAGAUGGGCCUUAUUUAAAUACCACUUGGGCUGAUUUUUUUUAAGGAAAAUGUUGGGCCUUAAUUCAAUUAUUUAAUAGAUGGCCCUAUUAUUGUUUAAUUAACUUGGGCUGCCCAUUUUAUAGUGGGCUGCGAAAAUUUUUAAGAAAAAGGGGGAGGUCCUUGAUUUAAUUAUUUUAAAUGGGCUGCCCAUUAUUUAUUAAUUGGACUUAUAGCAAGGUUUGAAUAAUUUUUAUUUAAAGAAUAAUUUGCAUAAUAAUAUUAUUAUUAUUAUUAUGUGCAUAUACGAUUAAGCAUGAGAUGAUUUGUAUAAUAAUAUUAUAUCAUUAUUAUGUGCAUAUUUUAAGUAAUUACUUACCAUAUGCUAAGUAUGCAUUUGCAUCAUGCAAUAAAAGUAUUUAUGAUUUAAUUGGUUUUAUUUAUAAAUCCAAUUAUUUAAGAAAAUUGAGUAAGAAUAUUGUUGGUGUUCUUAACUCAAGAGAAAUAUUUUCAAGUAUUUAUUUAUUAAAUUUUGAAAAUCCGGCUAAGUGAAUCAUAGAAUGUUAAGCACUACACCAUGACUUAAGAUUAGAUACAAGGAGACCUAUUGAGAAUAGAUUUCUUGUAGGCUUCGAGCAUCAGAAGGAUUAGCACUGCUAUUCCGAUUCAGAGAUAAGGUUAAACGACAGGCUUUGCCUAUACAGGUUGAGCAACUGAUGGAAUGGAAUGAUGUUGAGCGGGUGUUCCUUUGACAUUUCAAGAAAUGUAACCUUGAGUAUACAUCUUCAUAUGUAUAUCUCACACGUUUUCCGCUGCAAAACACUUUGAUUAGGAUAACUCUAUGUUAUGAAGUUGUGACACGUGUUAUUGGGUAACCCACCUUAAUCAGUUCUCCUUUAUGUGUAUGUGUUAUAAGUAUCCAAAUGAUCAUAUAUGAUCCUAGCUUUUUAUUUAUGAGUGACAUUUCCAUAUACUUUAAUGUUAAGUAAUUGUCCAUUUCCA